rnacentral:rRNA from 1 species
GCGGCCUAUCAGCUUGUUGGUGAGGUAAUGGCUCACCAAGGCGACGACGGGUAGCCGGCCUGAGAGGGUGAACGGCCACACUGGGACUGAGACACGGCCCAGACUCCUACGGGAGGCAGCAGUGGGGAAUAUUGCGCAAUGGACGAAAGUCUGACGCAGCGACGCCUCGUGAGGGACGAAGGUCUUCGGAUUGUAAACCUCUUUCAGCAGGGACGAAGCGAAAGUGACGGUACCUGCAGAAGAAGCACCGGCUAACUAUGUGCCAGCAGCCGCGGUAAUACAUAGGGUGCAAGCGUUGUCCGGAUUUAUUGGGCGUAAAGAGUUCGUAGGCGGUUUUUCGCGUCGGAUGUGAAAACUCAGGGCUCAACCCUGAGCCUGCAUUCGAUACGGGAAGACUCGAGGACGGCAGGGGAGACUGGAAUUCCU